AAUGGCUACCACAUCCAAGGAAGGCAGCAGGCGCGCAAAUUACCCACUCUCGGCACGAGGAGGUAGUGACGAAAAAUAACGAGACGGUUCUCUUUCGAGGCCCGUCAUCGGAAUGGGUACAAUCCAAACCCUUUAACGAGGAUCUAUUGGAGGGCAAGUCUGGUGCCAGCAGCCGCGGUAAUUCCAGCUCCAAUAGCGUAUAUUAAAAUUGUUGCGGUUAAAAAGCUCGUAGUUGGAUCUGCGGCAUUCUGGAUUUCGGUCCCAUUGAAAUGUGGUGUACUGAAUAUCCGUGCCUACCUCUCUGAUAUUCGUCGGUGGCUCUUCAUCGGGUGCCGAUGCGAUCAGACAGUUUACUUUGAAAAAAUUAGAGUGCUCAAAGCAGGCGUCUAUGCCUGAAUAGUGGUGCAUGGAAUAAUGGAAUAGGACCUCGGUUCUAUUUUGUUGGUUUUCGGAACUUCCGAGGUAAUGAUGAAUGGGAAUAGAACGGGGGCAUUCGUAUUGCGACGUUAGAGGUGAAAUUCUUGGAUCGUCGCAAGACGGACUACUGCGAAAGCAUUUGCCAAGAAUGUUUUCAUUAAUCAAGAGCGAAAGUUAGAGGUUCGAAGGCGAUCAGAUACCGCCCUAGUUCUAACCGUAAACGAUGCCAACUAGCGAUCCGUCGGUGUUACACAAUUGACUCGACGGGCAGCUUUCCGGAAACGAAAGUUUUUCGGUUCCGGGGGAAGUAUGGUUGCAAAGCUGAAA
rnacentral:rRNA from 1 species